UACCAGCACCCCGAGUGGUCGGGACGUUUAUUGGGCCUAAAGCAUCCGUAGCCGGUUCUACAAGUCUUCCGUUAAAUCCACCUGCUCAACAGAUGGGCUGCGGAAGAUACUAUGGAGCUAGGAGGCGGGAGAGGCAAGCGGUACUCGAUGGGUAGGGGUAAAAUCCGUUGACCCAUUGAAGACCACCAGUGGCGAAGGCGGCUUGCCAGAACGCGCUCGACGGUGAGGGAUGAAAGCUGGGGGAGCAAACCGG
rnacentral:rRNA from 1 species